CCAAGUUUAAUUCUGACAAUGAUUGACUGGUUCUUAGUUCAUAGGCCCAAACCACCGCCUACGUAAGUAAUUAACGAUAGCCCAGGAAGAGAUUUCCGGGCCAAUUUUUGACGCUUUCAGGUUUCAAUUUCAACCCGAAAUACAAAGGGAAGUUGUAAAAGAUAUUGUGAACUAUACGAAUACCAUUUUCGUUCAGUGAACAAACAUUUCUGAAUAAGCAAUUUGGACAGCCAAAGAGAACAAAAAAAAAAAUCAUCUUUUGGACAAGUUUAGGAUAACUUGAAAAGCGUAAGUCAAAGUUAAUAUCGACAAGUGGUGGACAAAAGAAAAAGUUCAAAGUUGAUAUCUAGAAUGACACAACCUGUAUGGUAUUAAGGAGCGAAAAACAGAGAUAGGUUGAUGAAUGCCAACGCUUAGAAGUGAAAGGAUAUAAACUUAUCAAGGCAAGAAGUUAGUAGACAAUGAGAUUAACAUCUCGAUGAGAAUAAUAUAUGAAAUAGCUACGCGAGAACUAAGAAAGUUCGUGAAGGGAUUAGUCAUCUCUUUUAUAACAAACGUUAAACAUUGCCAUAUGAUUAAGCAAGAUACAAAAGAACGGAAGAACAAGACUAUCUUUAAGGAUGUUAGCAACUAUUGUAAGAUAAAUCAAACACUUGAUAAUAAAGACGAGUAACUAGAAAACUGUCAAGAAAUGACGAUAUAAGAAACUUUAAGGAACACAGUGGAUUACAACGACGAAGUUGUUAGAACUUUAUGAUCCAGAUAACGAUAGUAUAAGAAGUAAGAUGUUAAAUCUUUAUGAGGAGCAAUAAGAAUUGCUAAGAAAUGUAAUAUUUGAUGGAUAAGAGUAUUGUUAUAAUUAUGAAAAUUCGAGGGCGAAUUUUUAUAAGGGGGGAAGAAUGUAAUACCCCGUAUUUUUAAAAGUACCGAGUAAGAUGCCACGCAGUAUAAGUGUGAGAACUUAAUCAAGGACGUCGGAAUUAAGUUCGAGAAAUAAGAAUUUAGACCGAAGCGGGUUUAUUAAAAUUAUCGUAAAAUAAUAAAUUAAGUGGAAUUUAUUAUUUGAUAAAUUGGAAUUUAGCGGGACUAAGAAAAAUAAAUAAAUUAGAAUAAAAUAAAUGGUAAGUCCCGAGUUAAUAAAUUUUACGAUAAAGUUCGUAAAAUAAGUUUAAGGAGCUAAGAUAAAAUUUUAUAGAAAUUGGACGAAAGGACUUUAAUUAAACGGGAUUCGAUUAUCGGCAAAGGAAAAGGAUAUAAAUAAAUGGACCCGGAUAAAUAAAUAAUACGACGGAGUCCAUUAUUUAUCGAUAAAGAAUAAUCGUCAAGGUUCCGUUAGAUUAUGAAAUACAAAUUGGAGUGAAAUUGGGAAAUAGAAAGUUGAGGAAUUAAGCUUUAAGAGGUGCUUAAUUUAAGCACUUUAAUGGGUAUUUUUCCCAUCAAUUCAAUGAAAAUAAGACACAUAUUUCUCCACCUCUUAAAUAUUUCUCUAGCAAAAAUUAAAGAUCAAAAUCUGAGAUCAAAAGGAAAUGAGAAACCCUUCUUCUUCACAUCACCGAAACCUCCAUCACCCUCAACAUUCAUCUUGCGCACCCACCACGGCGGAAGCCAUAUCUCGACAAUCCGACCACCAAAUUCAGCGAUUCAAACUCGGAUACGAAGCUAACACACCAAGGAACAAGACUCGGCGAGGCGACUACCAAUAGGACGCGGAACGUAAAGAACGCGACAUCGCUUUGCUAUGACCGUAGUUUUGGAUAGAAAACAUGUUAUGUUUCAGGUGUAUAGUAUCAGAUGUAACGGACUUCUAUCCUUGUUCCAGAAGUCCGCGAGUACAGAAAGAAGGAACCAAUCAGUAGUGCUGCAGUAGUCGAGUCCUAGAGUGUAAUUAUGUUUUGUCAAACGGUUUUAAAUAUUUUGUUUAUACUCUGAUAUGUAUAAAGGCUUUAGACUGCGCUUUUAAACCGUUUGCAUAUAUGUGAGAAACAGGGCAUUGCUUGAUAUGAGAUAUCGCUUUGUAAGACCCUGAUUUCUAAAGAUCGUCUUGUAUCGUUUAAAAGAAGUUUUAUAAAAACGUUUUGUGAA